CCAACAGUCCUUUUCAGGACUACACACCCUUAAAAAAAAAGAUUA
rfam:Strongylocentrotus purpuratus Contig49879_fixed, whole genome shotgun sequence.